rnacentral:rRNA from 1 species
GACGAACGCUGGCGGCGUGCUUAACACAUGCAAGUGGAGCGACGAACCAGGCUUCGGCCUGGGGCAGAGCCGCGAACGGGUGAGUAACACGUGGGUAACCUGCCCCGAUGACUGGGACAACCCGAGGAAACUCGGGCUAAUACCGGAUGUGCUGCUCUCGCUCAAGUGAGAGUAGGAAAGGAAGCUUCGGCCUCCGCAUCGGGAUGGGCCCGCGGCGCAUUAGCUGUUGGUGGGGUAACGGCCUACCAAGGCUACGAUGCGUAGCUGGUCUGAGGAGGGCGACCGGCCACACUGGGACUGAGACACGGCCCAGACUCC